GAAAAAUGUUGAUGCUAUCAAGGUUGGUAUUCACUUUGUACUUAUAGAUGCCAUAAAGAUUGUAUUAUUUUGGAUUGUAUUUUCUCUUACUCUAUAUUCUGCUACUUUACAGAUGGCGUUAUGUCAUGUGGGAUUACAAUGUUAUCCUUAUCAAUAAUCUUUGAUAUUUCAAUAUCAUCCAAAAGUGUUGCAUUGCAAUUGCUUCAAUUAUUUGAGUUCAACAAUAACAUUAGCUACGCAGUUUUACACAUAAGAUCAUGCUUGCUAUUUCCUUGAACUCCAUCUCUCAUAUGGUUGACUUUUAUGCAACUAACGAACCAAAGUAGGUUUACAUGGGUUUAUUAUCUAAAUUUAAAUGGUAGACUGGAAACCUCAAUUCCAGUCGUCUAAAUAUAUGCCAUUCUAAUUCAUGACAUUUUAAGAUUGCCUGAUUGUUGUUUAUGUAUUUGCAUUUCAU
rnacentral:misc_RNA from 1 species